CGGUUAAGUUAGAAAGGGCGCACGGUGGAUGCCUUGGCACUAGGAGCCGAUGAAGGACGGGACGAACACCGAUAUGCUUCGGGGAGCUGUAAGCAAGCUUUGAUCCGGAGAUUUCCGAAUGGGGAAACCCACCACUCGUAAUGGAGUGGUAUCCAUAUCUGAAUACAUAGGAUAUGAGAAGGCAGACCCGGGGAACUGAAACAUCUAAGUACCCGGAGGAAGAGAAAGCAAAUGCGAUUCCCUGAGUAGCGGCGAGCGAAACGGGACCAGCCCAAACCAAGAGGCUUGCCUCUUGGGGUUGUAGGACACUCUGUACGGAGUUACAAAGGAACGAGGUAGAUGAAGAGGUCUGGAAAGGCCCGCCAUAGAAGGUAACAGCCCUGUAGUCAAAACUUCGUUCUCUCCUGAGUGGAUCCUGAGUACGGCGGAACACGUGAAAUUCCGUCGGAAUCCGGGAGGACCAUCUCCCAAGGCUAAAUACUCCCUAGUGACCGAUAGUGAACCAGUACCGUGAGGGAAAGGUGAAAAGCACCCCGGAAGGGGAGUGAAAGAGAUCCUGAAACCGUGUGCCUACAAGUAGUCAGAGCCCGUUAACGGGUGAUGGCGUGCCUUUUGUAGAAUGAACCGGCGAGUUACGAUCCCGUGCAAGGUUAAGCAGAAGAUGCGGAGCCGCAGCGAAAGCGAGUCUGAAUAGGGCGAAUUGAGUACGUGGUCGUAGACCCGAAACCAGGUGAUCUACCCAUGUCCAGGGUGAAGUUCAGGUAACACUGAAUGGAGGCCCGAACCCACGCACGUUGAAAAGUGCGGGGAUGAGGUGUGGGUAGGGGUGAAAUGCCAAUCGAACCUGGAGAUAGCUGGUUCUCUCCGAAAUAGCUUUAGGGCUAGCCUCAAGGUAAGAGUCUCGGAGGUAGAGCACUGAUUGGACUAGGGGCCCCUACCGGGUUACCGAAUUCAGUCAAACUCCGAAUGCCGAUGACUUAUCCUUGGGAGUCAGACUGCGAGUGAUAAGAUCCGUAGUCGAAAGGGAAACAGCCCAGACCGCCAGCUAAGGUCCCAAAGUAUACGUUAAGUGGAAAAGGAUGUGGAGUUGCUUAGACAACCAGGAUGUUGGCUUAGAAGCAGCCACCAUUUAAAGAGUGCGUAAUAGCUCACUGGUCGAGUGACUCUGCGCCGAAAAUGUACCGGGGCUAAACGUAUCACCGAAGCUGCGGACUGUUCUUCGAACAGUGGUAGGAGAGCGUUCUAAGGGCUGUGAAGCAAGACCGGAAGGACUUGUGGAGCGCUUAGAAGUGAGAAUGCCGGUAUGAGUAGCGAAAGAGGGGUGAGAAUCCCCUCCACCGAAUGCCUAAGGUUUCCUGAGGAAGGCUCGUCCGCUCAGGGUUAGUCGGGACCUAAGCCGAGGCCGAAAGGCGUAGGCGAUGGACAACAGGUUGAUAUUCCUGUACCACCUCCUCACCAUUUGAGCAAUGGGGGACGCAGGAGGAUAGGGUAAGCGCGGUAUUGGAUAUCCGCGUCCAAGCAGUUAGGCUGGGAAAUAGGCAAAUCCGUUUCCCGUGAAGGCUGAGCUGUGAUGGCGAGCGAAUUAUAGUAGCGAAGUUCCUGAUUCCACACUGCCAAGAAAAGCCUCUAGCGAGGUGAGAGGUGCCCGUACCGCAAACCGACACAGGUAGGCGAGGAGAGAAUCCUAAGGUGAUCGAGAGAACUCUCGUUAAGGAACUCGGCAAAAUGACCCCGUAACUUCGGGAGAAGGGGUGCUCUGUUAGGGUGCAAGCCCGAGAGAGCCGCAGUGAAUAGGCCCAGGCGACUGUUUAGCAAAAACACAGGUCUCUGCGAAGCCGUAAGGCGAAGUAUAGGGGCUGACGCCUGCCCGGUGCUGGAAGGUUAAGAGGAGCGCUUAGCGUAAGCGAAGGUGCGAAUUGAAGCCCCAGUAAACGGCGGCCGUAACUAUAACGGUCCUAAGGUAGCGAAAUUCCUUGUCGGGUAAGUUCCGACCCGCACGAAAGGCGCAACGAUCUGGGCACUGUCUCAACGAGAGACUCGGUGAAAUUAUAGUACCUGUGAAGAUGCAGGUUACCCGCGACAGGACGGAAAGACCCCGUGGAGCUUUACUGCAGCCUGAUAUUGAAUGUUGGUACAGCUUGUACAGGAUAGGUAGGAGCCUUGGAAACCGGAGCGCCAGCUUCGGUGGAGGCAUCGGUGGGAUACUACCCUGGCUGUAUUGACCUUCUAACCCGCCGCCCUUAUCGGGCGGGGAGACAGUGUCAGGUGGGCAGUUUGACUGGGGCGGUCGCCUCCUAAAAGGUAACGGAGGCGCCCAAAGGUUCCCUCAGAAUGGUUGGAAAUCAUUCGCAGAGUGUAAAGGCACAAGGGAGCUUGACUGCGAGACCUACAAGUCGAGCAGGGACGAAAGUCGGGCUUAGUGAUCCGGUGGUUCCGCAUGGAAGGGCCAUCGCUCAACGGAUAAAAGCUACCCCGGGGAUAACAGGCUUAUCUCCCCCAAGAGUCCACAUCGACGGGGAGGUUUGGCACCUCGAUGUCGGCUCAUCGCAUCCUGGGGCUGUAGUCGGUCCCAAGGGUUGGGCUGUUCGCCCAUUAAAGCGGUACGCGAGCUGGGUUCAGAACGUCGUGAGACAGUUCGGUCCCUAUCCGUCGCGGGCGCAGGAAAUUUGAGAGGAGCUGUCCUUAGUACGAGAGGACCGGGAUGGACGCACCGCUGGUGUACCAGUUGUUCUGCCAAGGGCAUCGCUGGGUAGCUAUGUGCGGACGGGAUAAGUGCUGAAAGCAUCUAAGCAUGAAGCCCCCCUCAAGAUGAGAUUUCCCAUUCCGCAAGGAAGUAAGAUCCCUGAAAGAUGAUCAGGUUGAUAGGUCUGAGGUGGAAGUGUGGCGACACAUGGAGCUGACAGAUACUAAUCGAUCGAGGACUUAACCAAUUU
rnacentral:rRNA from 1 species